UCGAGCCAAGAAAAGUUUCUAAGUUUAGCUAAUGUUGCCCGUACCGUAAACCGACACAGGUGGGUGGGAUGAGUAUUCUAAGGCGCGUGGAAGAACUCUCUUUAAGGAACUCUGCAAAAUAGCACCGUAUCUUCGGUAUAAGGUGUGGUUCGCUUCGUAUUAGGAUUUACUCCGAAAGCGAAGAAACUUACAACAAAGAGUCCCUCCCGACUGUUUACCAAAAACACAGCACUCUGCUAACUCGUAAGAGGAUGUAUAGGGUGUGACGCCUGCCCGGUGCUCGAAGGUUAAUUGAUGGGGUUAGCAUUAGCGAAGCUCUUGAUCGAAGCCCGAGUAAACGGCGGCCGUAACUAUAACGGUCCUAAGGUAGCGAAAUUCCUUGUCGGUUAAAUACCGACCUGCAUGAAUGGCGUAACGAGAUGGGAGCUGUCUCAAAGAGGGAUCCAGUGAAAUUGUAGUGGAGGUGAAAAUUCCUCCUACCCGCGGCAAGACGGAAAGACCCCGUGGACCUUUACUACAGCUUGACACUGCUAUUUGGAUAAGAAUGUGCAGGAUAGGUGGGAGGCUUUGAGUAUAUGACGCCAGUUGUAUAUGAGCCAUUGUUGAGAUACCACUCUUUCUUAUUUGGGUAGCUAACCAGCUUGAGUUAUCCUCAAGUGGGACAAUGUCUGGUGGGUAGUUUGACUGGGGCGGUCGCCUCCCAAAUAAUAACGGAGGCUUACAAAGGUUGGCUCAGAACGGUUGGAAAUCGUUCGUAGAGUAUAAAGGUAUAAGCCAGCUUAACUGCAAGACAUACAAGUCAAGCAGAGACGAAAGUCGGUCUUAGUGAUCCGGUGGUUCUGUGUGGAAGGGCCAUCGCUCAAAGGAUAAAAGGUACCCCGGGGAUAACAGGCUGAUCUCCCCCAAGAGCUCACAUCGACGGGGAGGUUUGGCACCUCGAUGUCGGCUCAUCGCAUCCUGGGGCUGGAGCAGGUCCCAAGGGUAUGGCUGUUCGCCAUUUAAAGCGGUACGCGAGCUGGGUUCAGAACGUCGUGAGACAGUUCGGUCCCUAUCUGCCGUGGGCGUAAGAAGAUUGAAGAGAUUUGACCCUAGUACGAGAGGACCGGGUUGAACAAACCACUGGUGUAGCUGUUGUUCUGCCAAGAGCAUCGCAGCGUAGCUAAGUUUGGAAAGGAUAAACGCUGAAAGCAUCUAAGCGUGAAGCCAACUCUAAGAUGAAUCUUCUCUAAGCUCUCUAGAAGACUACUAGUUUGAUAGGCUGGGUGUGUAAUGGAUGAAAGUCCUUUAGCUGACCAGUACUAAUAGAGCGUUUGGCUUAUCUUUAAUAAAGCAU
rnacentral:rRNA from 1 species